AUUAGCUCAGUUGGUAGAGCAUCUGACUUUUAAUCAGAGGGUCGUAGGUUCGAAUCCUACAUG
rnacentral:tRNA from 1 species